rnacentral:lncRNA from 1 species
UUUAAAUGAUAACAAAAGAGCGGUUGCUCUCUGAUCUAAUUGCAGACACAAUCUGCAGAACCGUCUUCUAUGGGAUUUGAACUUGUGAAGUGUGAGGUGGAGACCUGAAUGUAACAAAUUGGUGUUAAGUGAAUAAUUCCAAACAUAUAAAAUUUAGAUCAUCACACCGAACGCAAACAGAACAAUUAAAUAAACAACUGAAGGCAUACGCAAUCUAAUUAGACAAAUAAGUGAACUUUCCCAUGCCGAAAUCUGAAAGGCCAACAGAAAUAUCUCAUUACAGCACAGAAGACAAAACUUAGGACAAAACUUAAAACUAAUCAAACUUAGGUGAACCAAUUAUAGAGAACAUAACCCUUGUAACCAAUCGGGAAAAGAUGCUUUUAAAUCCCAGAAAAAAAAAUUAAGAGGAGUUUUUUAAAAAACCAUCAUUUCAAUUAUUUUCCAGUCUUACAUUUGGAUUAAACAGAAAAUAUAAGUAAAAAUGCCAACUUUCUAAAAAAACUACAACUAUUUUUACAAAUUUCCAUUACCCAAUGCUGAAAAAUGAGAAUCACGAAGCAAUGAAGAACGGAACACGCGAGAACCAAAAAGUUAAAAACAACACGUAACCAUUUCAAAGACCCAAAAUCCUGCAAGGACAAAAAAAUCCCAUAAAAUCAGUACAUCAGCACUCCCUGCAAAACCCCAAAAUCAGAAAAUUAUAAAAAGAACCCAAAAUCAGUGGCAUGGUCCUCGUUUCUCCAUCAUUCAGUAGCUAAUGACCUAAUGGAAAAGAACCCAAAACAUACAGCUUAAAAUAUGGAAAGUGCUUAUAAAAGCUCAUGAAUAACGUUCAAAGCCUGCAUAGAAAUGGUAUAGCGCAGAUAACAACAAACAAUAAAACUAUGCACAGUAUAACCUAAAUCCGAUAUGUUGCAUUCCCCACACACAGAUUGUUCAAAAUUAAUUUCGUCUCCGUCUUUUUUCAAAUCUGAUAAAAUCCCCAAAACACAAAAAAUAGCAGCUAACUAUUUUUUGAACUCUGUAAACAACGAUAUGCAUCUUAACCCAUUUAACAUAUUCAUAAAAUAACAUCAAACACAUUUAUGCAUGAGAUAAUAUAGAAGUGAAGUCUCACAACUUUCAUAAAAAAUUAUUACUUUGUUAGAGAAAGGCUUGAAAAAAUAUGUAAAUUACUCACCUCUAUUACAAAAAUGUUACAACAGUAGACAAAAAAGGCCAAAAAUACCAAAAGCCGCACCUCCUGAAAUAAAAAACAUAACCAAACGACACAUUCUCAGUAUCUAAACGAUAUCCAGAAAAAAAGAAAUGAACAGACGAAACCCAUGUAAAUAUACAGAACAAACCAAAAAAAAAAAAAAGAACUGAAGCCAGUAAGAAGAUCACAAAUCUGAUAAAGCAAAAGGUAACAUAAUCUAUAUCGAUUUAAUUAUCCAUCCAAAAAGACAUUUGAAUGAAGAACAUUUUUAAGGAUCCAAACAACCAUUAAACUAAACAAUUAAAAGUAAAAACAGCAAAGCAUUCAUUGAAGAAAUAUAUAUAUAUAUAUAUAUUAUAACGUAUUUUGUUCUUUAUACCUAAAAGAAAAACAUUGGCUUUCUUGUAUGCACUGAAGUAUGCAUGUGUCGGAAAUUUACAAUCUAUAGAGACUCAAUCUCAGACUCAAAAAGACAUCUAAAGGAAAAGUAAUAAGAAAAAUAAGUAGUGGUUUUACCUAUACUCCAUGUGUGGACUCCAAUUUUCAAUCACAAUUCAAAAUUCAAGAGGCCUAUAAAUCAACCACAUAGGAAAUGAUCAGUGGAAGAAAAAGAAAAACAACUGAAGCCAAAAUAGCAUCUAACAAAUCAUUUAGAACCAUCACAGAAAACAAUUUUUGCAUAUAAGUAAUUUAAAGGAAUACCAUCAGGUCAUGCAUAUAUACAACGUACCCAAUUAGAUAAGUAGCACAUCAACAAUUGAUGAUCAAAAAGUUAGUCAGCCUCAAUUGCUUGAAUCUAAUUAACUCAAAGAUAAUAAACAGUCCAUUUAAUGCACGGGCUGACUAUCAAUUUUAUAAAGCUAUAAUUCUGUGCAGUUCAAAAACCAAGUGGAAGAAUAGGCAAAAACUAUCUCAUCGCCUGUAAAUGUAAUUAACUAAAUAUUAAACUUCACAGCCACAAAUAAACCUAAAUUCCUCCUAAAACUAUCUCAUUUAAGCUUGAUUUUACUAUAAUCUAUAAGUGUGGUAAAAAAUGGGAGGCCAAACGAUUUGUUAACAAAAAAGGUAGACAUAAAAGUAAAAGGAACAGGGCAGACAUUAGUUGAGGAGAAGCUAAUGUCACCUUGAAUUGACGACAAACAGUUCUUAUCUUCUCGAAUUAACGAAGAUAAGUACCAUUUUUCUUUAAUUCAAGGUAAUAUAAAAAGAAAUUAUACCUGUACAGUGUUCAGAUGUAGCAAUCCUAUGCAAUCGGCCAAAUGAUGUGUGUCCUCUCAAAGAUCUGUAUAUCCAUUACAGACUAAUCUUCAGUCUUGCAGAAAAUGAUAUGUUGACUACAAUUUCCCAUACUACUAAAAAACACAAAUAAUUCUAUCUACAAACCAAAUAAUAUGUGCAACUUUAUGCUACAAUGGUAGAAUAAGAUGGUUGUACAGGACGACACAAAGAUUGAGACUUUUUUUUACUUCUAAAAUUCUACACACUUUCGAGCCCUAAAUUUUCCCGGAAACAAAAAAAAGUGAAAGAAGUCGUACCUGGUUUGAGAGAGUGGGACACCAUCGGCGAGUUUGGUGUAGCAGUGAUGGCGGAGAUCUCUGGUGAGAAAGCUAAUAAGAUGGACAAAAUCAUUGAACAAAAAAAACCUCGCUUUUUAAAAUUAAAGUCAACAAAAAUUUGAACAAAGAAAAGAGAACUCAAACCCGAAACAAAUAAGUCGGAGAACUCGCCAGGAAACCCAAAGUUUCUGCAGGAUUGGCGAUUUCCUGAAAACCAAGCUUUUGUAGGUUUAAAAUUUCUUCCCUAAGGCAACAGAUCCAACAUUCCCAACUUUAGCUAUUUCAGCUACAUAAUAGAAAGAAAAAAAAAUUUAUAUAAUUAACUAAUCUGAUUUAAGAUUAAUCGAAAAGCUUGGAAAUUUCAGCUUUAAAAUUACAUGUCAGGCUGCAAAUCUAAUAAAAAGCGUAGAAUUUUAAAAAUGCUGACCUUAAAUACAGAGGCCUUCGCAGGCUGCAAAGAAGCGUUAGAAACCCGAAAAACCGGAUCUCCUGAAACCAAAAACAAAACCAAAUUAACCAUCAUCACCCAUAAUUCGAAGCCACAAACAUAAUCCCCAAAAUUACAACCCAAAAAUUUAAACAAAAAAACCCAUUUAUAAAUCCAAAUUUACACUCCCAAGUGCAAGACUCUAAGCUCCAACUGUUCUUUCUCAACUUUAGCUAUUUCAGCAACAUAACAUAAAUAAAAAGGUCGUACCCAGUGCACAAGGCUCCCGCUUUACGCAGGGUCUGGGAGAGGUGAAUGUCGGCUAGCCUUACCCCCAUUUUAUGGAGAGGCUGCUCCCAAGUCUCGAACCCGAGACCUACCGCUCAUGGGCGAAGACACUUGCCAUCGCACCAAGUGCGACCUCUAGCAACAUAACAUAAAUAAAAAGAUCGUACCCAGUGCACAAGGCUCCCGCUUUACGCAGGGUCUGGGAGAGGUGAACGUCGGCUAGCCUUACCCCCAUUUUAUGAAGAGGCUGGAACAUAACAUAAAUAAAUAAACAAAAUUAAUUUAACUAUAAUUAACUAAUAUGAUUUAAGAUUAAUCAAAAAACUUGGAAAUCUGCUUGAAUCCAAUCUCAAAAUUGAAAACGAACACUUCACUUUUACAAAAGUUGUACAAAGCAAAAAAAAAAAAACAGACAAAUCAAAGUCUCACAAAGGGCCACAACGACAGCAAAAUUGCAACAGAAAGAGGAAAAAUGUUCAAUCAAACCAUUGGAUAACUCUUCUAAGGCAGCCAAAAAAAAACCCACAAAUUCAAAACCACAAAAAUCCAAUCUAAAACAUCGAUUCACAGACUGAGAUGCACAAAAUGAUAUAUUAACAAAUCCAAAACGAAAUACAAAAAUUAAGAACCAACAAGCAAAAAAAUACUGAUUAUCCCCUGCAUACGUGAGCACACGUUCAAAAAGCCUCUCAAAGGCUGAGAUUCAACUUUCAAACAUAAAGACUUUAAGCCACAAUUGUUCUUUCUUAACUUUAGCUACUUCAGUUACAUAAUCGGAAAAAAAAAAUUAUUUAAUUAUAGUUAACUAAUCUGGGUUAAGAUUAAUAAAAAAGCUUGGAAAUUUCAGAUCUAAAAUCACACCUCAGGCUGCAAGUAGAAUCAAAACCAUGGAAUUUCAAAAUCACUGACCUUAAACACACAGGUCUUCGCAGGCUUCAAAGAAAAGUCACAAACUCGAAAAACCCAAUCUCCUGAAAUCGAAAACAAAACCAAAUUAACCAUCAUCACCUAGAAUCCGAAGCUACAAAACAAAAUUCCCAAAAUCAAAACCAAAAAAUUUGAACAAAAAACUCAUUUAAUAUCCAAAUUUACACUCCCAAGCACAUAACAUUCAAAGCAGACAAUUACCCAAAUCAAAUCGACAGCAGGAGAUGCAAUCUUUUAUGGGCUUCAAAUUUUCUUCAAACCGAGACCAAAUUCGCUAGUUUUCAGCAAGAGAGCGUUGCCGUUUGUAACCCCCGAUGAAAAGAUCCAAACAAAUUUGACUAACAGUAGACAGAGAGAGAGAGAGAUAGAGAGAGAGAGGUGAAAAUUACUCGCUGGUGACGAAGCUAAUGAAUUCGGAGACGCAUUCCUGGACGGUGUUCGACUGAUCGGCACGAGUAGAGACACCAGAUCAGAAAGACAGAAAAAUUAGGGUUUGGGAGAUAAAGAAACUGGGGCAGAGAGAGAGGGAAAGAGAAGCAGAAAAGAGGAUAAUUUUAUGCAUUUUUUUUAGCCGCUUUGAAUUUUUUUUGGCCGACAGGCAUUUGCGUCCGAUUAUUUUUGUCGAAGCCGGUGACACCAAAACCGGCCUCCGGCUUUCGGACCAGGAUUGUCUGCCCCUUCAUUUUCCCUGCCAUGU